CUUCUUGCAGUGGUCACACCACUCGACGCUGACAGGCGUCCCCCUUCCUCGGGAUGUCUCUCGCGAGUGCAAAGCGAAGGCUCUGCCUUCUGUUUCUUGAUUAUUUACUGUCCCCAUGGUGACGCUUCUGGUCUCCUUUUGUUGAAUGAAGGCUAUGACAGCGUCGAGCCGGUGUAAGUUGCUAGAUAGAAGGAUUUGAGACCGAAGUGCUU
rnacentral:lncRNA from 1 species